rnacentral:tRNA from 3 species
UCUGGCGUAGCACAGUGGUAGUGCGCUCGGCUGUUAACCGAAAGGUCGUAGGUUCGAAUCCUACCGUCAGAG